rfam:Schistosoma curassoni strain Dakar, Senegal genome assembly, scaffold: SCTD_scaffold0000881
GGCUCCGUGGCCUAAUGGAUAAGGCAUCUGACUUCGGAUCAGAAGAUUGCGGGUUUGAGUCCCGUCGGGGUCG